UACGGAGGAUGCAAGCGUUAUCCGGAAUGAUUGGGCGUAAAGGGUCCGCAGGUGGCAGUGUAAGUCUGCUGUCAAAGAAUGAGGCUUAACCUCAUCAAGGCAGUGGAAACUACACAGCUAGAGUACGGUCGGGGUAGAAGGAAUUCCUGGUGUAGCGGUGAAAUGCGUAGAGAUCAGGAAGAACACCGGUGGCGAAAGCGGCUCGCUGGACCGGUUCUGACGCUGAGGCGCGAAAGCGUGGGGAGCAAACGGG
rnacentral:rRNA from 1 species